rnacentral:rRNA from 1 species
UACAGAGGUCUCAAGCGUUGUUCGGAUUCAUUGGGCGUAAAGGGUGUGUAGGUGGCGCUGUAAGUCGGGUGUGAAAUUUCGGAGCUUAACUCCGAAACUGCAUUCGAUACUGCCGUGCUUGAGGACUGGAGAGGAGACUGGAAUUUACGGUGUAGCGGUGAAAUGCGUAGAUAUCGUAAGGAAGACCAGUGGCGAAGGCGGGUCUCUGGACAGUUCCUGACGCUGAGGCACGAAGGCCAGGGGAGCAAACGGG